rnacentral:rRNA from 1 species
UACGUAGGGGGCGAGCGUUGUCCGGAAUCAUUGGGCGUAAAGAGCGUGUAGGCGGCCCGAUAAGUCCGCUGUGAAAGUCCAGGGCUCAACCCUGGAAUGCCGGUGGAUACUGUCGGGCUCGAAUCCGGAAGAGGUGAGUGGAAUUCCUGGUGUAGCGGUGAAAUGCGCAGAUAUCAGGAGGAACACCAAUGGCGAAGGCAGCUCACUGGGACGGUAUUGACGCUGAGACGCGAAAGCGUGGGGAGCAAACAGG